rnacentral:ribozyme from 1 species
GGUGUGCGAUAGACUUACCUCCACGUGGUGCACACUGGGCAACGUAUAUUCAUACGGCAAAAGGUCUAU